rnacentral:tRNA from 1 species
CAGAGAAUAGUUUAUUUAAAAUAUUAAUUUUGGGGAUUAGUGAUGAGAUAUUAGUCUUUUCUCUGA